rfam:Trichobilharzia regenti genome assembly, scaffold: TRE_scaffold0138431
AGCCCCCUGUAUCCGUGCUGAGAUUUCGUCAGAGAUCAACCCGUCGGCGCUGGCUGAUGAUACUUCCCAAAUAAGUGAAGCG